CUUUCGCAGCCCGACUUGAACGGAGCUCAUUUUUUUUGCGGCUGCAAUCUGGCGAGGGCAAAAAAUAGCGGGAGUGUAAGGCGGAAAAGCUG
rnacentral:misc_RNA from 1 species